AGCAGUGUGGAAUGAUGGUUAGAGAGCUAGGCUUACAACUCAGUGGUACUGGGUUCGAUUCCAAGGUACUGCUG